rnacentral:rRNA from 2 species
ACGGGAGGCAGCAGUGGGGAAUAUUGGGCAAUGGGCGAAAGCCUGACCCAGCGACGCCGCGUGAGGGAAGACGGUCUUCGGAUUGUAAACCUUAGUCAACAGGGAAGAAACAAAUGACGGUACCUGUGGAGGAAGCCACGGCUAACUACGUGCCAGCAGCCGCGGUAAUACGUAGGUGGCGAGCGUUAUCCGGAAUUACUGGGUGUAAAGGGUGUGUAGGCGGGGCAGCAAGUCAGACGUGAAAACUAUGGGCUCAACUCAUAGCCUGCGUUUGAAACUGCAGUUCUUGAGAGUCGGAGAGGUAAACGGAAUUCCCAGUGUAGCGGUGAAAUGCGUAGAUAUUGGGAGGAACACCAGUGGCGAAGGCGGUUUACUGGACGACAACUGACGCUGAUACACGAAAGCGUGGGGAGCAAACAGGAUUAGAUACCCUGGUA